UGCUACAGUCGUGAGCAGAUCAA
rnacentral:miRNA from 1 species